CCAAGGGUGGAGUUCUCAGCGCGCAGGCGCCUUCGGGCAGUGACUCGCAUGAAUGGAUCAAAGAGAUUCCCACUGUCUCUACCUACUAUCCCUCGAAACCACAGCCAAAGGAAUGGGCUUGGCAGAAUCAGUGGGGAAAGAAGACCCUACUGAAGUUGACUCUAGUGUGGCAAGUCCUGAUCGACGGAACUCUGCAAGGAUGGCUCUCAGAAAGCUCUGUUCCAGAACGGAGGAAUUUCUUAAAGAAAAUGAGGAAAUGUGAAUUCUCCAAAGUGGCUGCACAAUAAUUCCAGAAUGGAAAAGGCAGAAAUUCUCAGCUGUAUUUAAUAAUAGAGAAAUGAAGAAAUCUACAAGAAGAGACCCUUGGCCCAAGAUUAUUAUUGAACCAUCUGGAAAAACAAGGGUCUGUUCCUUGCAUAAAGAGAAAAAGCCAAAAGACUGAAGUGGAGCCUAUUUUGCCACAGCCUGAGGCUCAUAGCACGUGGUGAAUUUUGGAAACCACCUGGCCAAUGGCUAAAUGAACCAGAAUCAAGAGGGAAGGAAGCCAUGAAACUGGAGGACCCAGAGGAAUCCGUGAUUAGAUGAGUCAGACCAAUCCCCCACGCCAACGGCUGUACUUUUGUGCCUGCCCUUCCCUGUGCACUGGGGCUGAGGGCCUCCUGGGCUCCGUUCACGGGGAGGCCUGUACUCUCUCCCGAGGUGACAUAGGUGGGCACUUGCAUUUUAAAUUGCACUGAGGGAACUCUUGGACUCAGCACUGUCUGCAGGGACCUCUGUUUCUGCAUUCCCAGUGCUUGCCAGCAACGCCGUCAUUUGCCUAACGACCACUGCAGGCGAUGACAUCCUGUCCGAUGGUAUCCCAAAAGAACUAUUUUCUUCCAAAAUUUAUAUAACAUCAGGUUUAAAAAAGCAAACUGUAGGGAUUUCUCUGGUGGUCCAGUGGCUAAAGCUCUGUGCUCCCAAUGCAGGGAGCCCGGGAGUCCAUCUCUGGUUGGGGAACUAGAUCCCACAUGCCACAACUAAGUGUUCACAUGUUGCAACUGAAGAUCCUGUGUGCUACAACUAAGAGGCAGCACAACCAAAUAAACAGAUAAAUAUUGAAACAAAUCAAAAAUAAAGUGAUAACAUUAAAAAAUAGAAAAGCAAAUUAUAUAGGUAUAUACACAUACACCAAACUAGGACAUUAAAGAGAGUUAUUUCUGGGAAGUGGGAUUAUAGGAGUUUUUAUGUUUUCUAUUUGUUUUCAGAAUUCAACUAUAAGACAUUCAAAUACUUUUGGGUCACUUUUUCAGUGACCCAAGACAGAAAUAUGAACAGCAGUGUAUAUUAUUCCCUCCUCCUAAUCCCCCAUAUUCAGCUGGUGAGGAUGUCCUGGGUGGGUGGGUGGUGGGGGGGGGCGGUUUCCUAUCUUUCCUCCUUUCCUCAUGUGAAGCAGCUCCAUACAGUGGAUAAUAGCAGGGACUCAAGGGGCUGCUGCAGAGGUCUAGAAUCAAGAGUGGGCAGGGGACCCUGGGAAGCAAGAAAAUACCGAAAGCAGCUCCCCUCCAAGGGCCUGAGUCUUGGUGACCAUAAGCACUCUUUCUGACUGCUGCUGGUGUGAGGGAGUAAAAAAAAAAAGCUGGGGACACCAAACAUGGAAUCUAAGAAGACACUGCAUAAACCUGGGGUCUGAACACCACCACACCCCCAGUAUGAGGAUGAAUGAGAGACUCUUCAUGCAGAAGGGAUGGUAAGAAAAAUGGCCUGUGUGACUUUGGUGUUGGGAGGGGGUGUAAGGGGAAAAAAAAUCCUCUGAGUCUUUGCAACCACAACCCCUCAUGUGGAUCUGCAGUUCAUAUUCAUGUUGUGUCUCCUAAAAACCCUCAGUGAAAAUGGUCACCGUUGGCAGUGCCCCUCAGUAACUGACAGAAGCGCAAAACGAACUAAAUGAAUUCAAGUUCAACGCAGGCCUCAAUCAACUUCCAGAUAAAGCUCUAAGGAGCAAAACACAAAAAACAAGUAAACAAGGCCAUAUAGACGUGGCCUUUUUUAUAGAAGCGAUAGAAGUAAACUCACAAAGACGUCAGAUAUCAUAACUACAAGAUAAACAAUAUAGGUAUGUUUGUUUUUAUGUUAAGAAACAAAAGAGAGGUUUGAAAUUACAGGCAAGAGUUUUGGGUAAAAACAGCAGCCAAAUGUGAAGCCUUCCGAAACAUUAUUUAAAGACCAAGAACCCUAAAUAAGCAAGCAACUGGAGAGCAGUAAACAAUAUAAUUCUGCAAGUUAGAAAGAGGUGGCAGGGUAGUAGUGGUUGACUUAGCUGACUGUAGAAAGCCCAGUCCUAAAUCAGUAGUGAGGAAUCCAAGAACAAACCUAAAGCUACACUAAAAAUCUUCAAAACACUCAAAUUGUUAGUGGUACUGGAACUGGGGGUAAAGAGGGAACUUUGUCUAAAACGAGGAGGACUGGUUGAAAGUUAAGAAACUGAUGCCCUAGAUUAGGAAUCAGCACACUAUGGCCUGCCACGUUUUUGAAAAUAAAGUUUUACUGGAAUACAGCUUUGCACAUUUGUUUACGUGGCUGCUUUCACAAUUUAAGGGCAGGACUGAAUAGUGGUAACAGACCAUUAUGGCCCACAAAACCAGAGGGGUGGGAUGGGGAGGGAGGUGGGAGGGGGGUUCAGGAUGGGGAACACAUGUACACCCAUGGCGGAUUCAAGUCAAUGUAUGGCAAAACCAAUACAAUGUUGUAAAGUAAAAUAAACAAACAAUUAAAAAAAAAAAACCAAAGAAGUUUGUUGACCCUUGCCUAGGCCUCCCCCCCAUUUCAUGCUGGUGGGUGAACAUUCGAGCAAUAUUCUGUGAGAAAAUGUUGUGCCUUGGUGAUUUGUGCUGUUUCCAUAAAACGCUCUGCCCUGGAGAUUAUCCCACUUACACCAUAGCAGGAGACCAGAAAUUUAUUCUCAAGCAAAGAUAAACAAAGUUGAUCAACCUGGAACACUAGCAAUUGUUGCAAAGAAGGGGAUGUCCCUUACUAAAUAUAGACAGUUACUAUUUGCAUACUGAAUUUGAAGACCUCCACCCUCCCUGACUCCAGUUCACCUCCCCUGGUCAAAGGAAGAAAACAACCUCAAAUAAGUAGGAUGGUGCAUAAAAGGCCCACUCAGAGGGGAAAGAACUUUUAGAAACUGUAUGACUGCGGCGGUAGAACUGAUGCUUUUGAACUGUGGUGCUGGAGAAGACUCUUGAGAGUCCCCUGGCUGGAGUGCAAGGAGAUCAAACCAGUCCAUCCUAAAGGAAAUCAGUCCUGAAUAUUCACUGGAAGGACUGAUGCUGAAGCUCCAAUACUGUGGCCACCUGAUGCGAAGAACUGACUCAUUGGAAAAGACCCUGAUGCUGGGAAAGAUUGAAGGCAGGAGGAGAAGGGGAUCACAGAGGAUGAGAUGGUUGGAUGCUAUCACCGAUGCAAUGGACAUGAGUUUGAGCAAGCUCUGGGAAUUAGUGAUGGACAGGGAAGCCUACCGUGCUGCAGUCCAUGGGUUCGCAAAGAGUAGGACACGACUGAGCAACUGAACUGAACUGAGGGGUGGAGAAACUCUACCCAAAAGAGUGGGUAGAGAGUAACUUUGAGGCUGUCUCUCCUGGAAAGCAUAGCUUGGAGAUAAACACCAUAUCUGGCUCUCUGCUGACCCUAAUACUUAACAGAGUGCCUAGCUCUGAGCACAUGUUAUAGACAUGUGUUGCUACUAUAGCCAUUCAGAAUUUACAUUGUUUCUGGCAAAAAACUAGAAACAAGUUUACAAUUCUUUUAAGUGCUGAAAUACUGUGGCUGUGUGGUUUCUCUUGUUCAGCCCCAGGUAGACAUUUAACCUGCUUUGUUCCUCAGCCGCCUCAGAGAAGUCUUAGUGGAAUCUCAGUUGGCAUUCUCCCAGUGGGCCUCAAGUGGGAGAAUGCCACACGUCAUACCCACCACAGAGCAUGCACCCUGCUAGGCACAUUACAGACACGCUCUCAUUUAAUUCCCACAAUGACCCUAUGACAUAGCUAUUUUUCAGAAGAAAACUGGAGCCCAGAGGUUUUAAAGUAACUUUUCUAUAACUUGCCACACACCUAUUAGAGUCAGAAUUCAAACCAGAUUUGU